CUAGAAUAAUUUUUUUAAAUGAUUUUUGUUAAACCUUGAAUAUUUUGAAUUGUGCUGGGAUAGAUAUAUUUUAUAAUUUAGUAUCUUUUGCGUUAUUAAGCAACUUCUUAGUAUUUUGAUGUUUUUGUCACAAAUUCUAUCAACUAGCAAUUUGGAUGACCAAGAAACUACAUCAGAAUGAUAGAUAAUGGUAAGUUAAAAGAAUCUUGUUAAUUAUCAUGCCAAAAUAUAGAAUACAAUCAUUCAAUGUGAUUAUUAAAUAAUUGUAACCUUACUAAUGUGGACACUUAAGUAUAUAUAGGUUAGAACACUAACAACCUUUUGCCGACUAAAGGCUUGCGACUCGCCAGCAGAAGUGAGAUUGCUUCCUUGGUUCUCUCUCGUGUUCCGAGCUGACAUGAACUACGCUGGAUGCUGUGAAAAGUUCGCUAAAGAUGGCAUCAAAAUAUUAAAUCUAAUCGAAUGAGUUGCAAGUUAUAAGGAGAGAAAACAUUAUUACUUAGAAACAUCUAUCGAAACAUAUGCAGCAUUCCCAUCUCUUUCUCAACAUAAGAAUCGGCUGAAUCGAAAAACGGGCCAUUCUGACAUCAAUUUCUGUAAAGGGCCGAAUAAAUCAGACGCCACAGAAUGGAGCCAGCAUGCGAGAGCCUUCUGCAUGUAGCCGUCCUCCCCAGGAAAAUGUUGCCAGGCAAGUAACGAACCACUUAGUGCUAAAACAAGACAAGAAAUGUUUCCAGGCGAUGUGUAAGUGUCAUAUUUGCAGAGUGACUACUUCAGUUUCUGUCAGAUUCUCUAUCAGCAAUCUGUAUGAUGGCAAAUAUUUUCUCAUAAUGGUAUUAGUAUAUACAAGUUGGAAAACCUACUGCUUAUAUAAUUGCUCUUUUUCUGAGUGAAGACUUCCUAUUUACACCUAAAGUAAGACGGCUUUCAUGAAUCCACAUAUGUCCUGAAUCG